rnacentral:rRNA from 1 species
UACGGAGGGUGCAAGCAUUGAUCGGAAUUACUGGGCGUAAAGGGCGCGUAGGCGGUGAGAUAAGUCAGAUGUGAAAUUCCGGGGCUCAACCCCCGGAGCUGCAUUUGAAACUGUCGUCGCUAGAAGUUCAGUUAGGGGUAAACGGAAGUUCCACGUGUAGCGGUGAAAUGCGUAGAUAUGUGGAAGAACACCGUGGUGAAGACGGUUUACUGGGCUGAUACUGACGCUGAGGCGCGAAAGCAUGGGGAGCAAACAGG